rnacentral:tRNA from 1 species
GGGGAUUUAGUUCAGUGGUAGAACGCUUGCCUAGCAAGCGCAAGGCCCUGGGUUCAGUCCCCA